rnacentral:lncRNA from 1 species
CUUGCCAUGCCCUCCACGUUGUGUUCUUCAUCACCAAAAUAUAAACCAAACCCAACGACGCAUUUUUUUUCAAAUCAAUUGCCAGAUAACCAUCUGUGCAGGGACGGAGGUGUUGAUGAUAUUUUCUGUUUCUUUUGAACGCCGCCGCUGCCACUGUAAUCAGACCGGAACUUUUUGUCGUCUGCCUAAGUCGUCUUAACUUUUCAUCGGACAUCACCGGAACGCCGUUUGAAUUGCACGACCACCGCCACCGCUCGGAUUUCUCCCUAAAUGUCUGAUCUCUCUCUAAAGUGUUUAUGUGUGUGUCCUGUGUACACUGAUACGAAUCUAAGUCUUCAUGUGUGUGUUGUGUACCUUUUACAGUAGAAAAUGGUAUUAUAAAUGGUGGUGUUGAUGGUUUUCAAAACCGUAGUCUGUUGGUUUUGAAGGAAAAAAAGAAAAAGAGAGUAGAGAUGCAAUUGUUAAAAACGUUAUUAUGAAUUUUAAUAUGAAAUGAAAUAAAUAAACAGAAAGAUCUACAUAAAACUUGAUUUUAGAACAAUAUUCUUUCAAAUAAUUUUCAAGUAUGAUUAUAAAUCUUUAUAUGCUUUGAAAACAUGCAAUGUGUUUUUUAUUAUAAAUCUUUAUAUGGUUCGAAAACAUAAAUUGGUUUUUUUGAUGUUGUAACUGAUACUGUUUUCAUUCUGCAAAAAAAAAAAAAACAGAAUUUACACAUAAUUGUUUUAUAAACUUCAAAUGCAAGAAUUUUUCUUUUAAACACAACACUUUAUUAUAAAUUUCAAAUGCACGAGUUUUCUUUUAAGUAUCAAACACAACACUUUAUUUCAAGAAUUUGUUAAACUAAAUUUCAAUGGCAUUGAAAUCCAAACUGUAUUAUAUAGUUUCAUUUGUAUGUGUUUGUAUGUACACAAUAUAUAAUAAACCGUCGAUUUAAAAUUGUAUUUUGUUUUCUUCGUUUCUUUAUUUUCCUCUCACGUUUCCCUUUCGUGGAUAUGUAUUGUUUUUUAGAUAAUGUGUACUCAUUUUGUGUUUUUUGCUCUUGAUAUUCAUUUAAUUAUUGCUAUUGCUAUUGAUAUUGAUUUUUAUAACCGUGUCGAUAGCAUACGAGGACUAUGA